rnacentral:rRNA from 1 species
CCUACGGGAGGCAGCAGUAGGGGAUAUUGCACAAUGGGGGAAACCCUGAAGCAGCAACGCCGCGUGGGGGAUGGAGGGUUUAGGAGUGUAAACUCCUUUUGGUAGAGAAGAAUGUGACGGGAUCUAACGAAUAAGCACCGGCUAAAGCAGGGCCAGCAACCGGGGGAAAACGGAGGGGGGAAGCGGUAAUCGGAAUCACUGGGCGGAAAGGGGGGGGAGGCGGGGUCAGAAGUCAGAUGUGAAAUCCUGUAGCGCAACUACAGAACUGCAUUUGGAACUGUGACUCUGGAGUGGGGGAGAGGUAGGUGGAAUUCUUGGUGUAGGGGUAAAAUCCGUAGAGAGCAAGAGGAAUACUGGUGGCGAAGGCGGCCUGCUGGAA